rnacentral:lncRNA from 1 species
CUCUGGGUCACCAUCGGCAUCGGACACGGAGACUCGAGCCACGUAGUCGCCUGGGUGGGCGCCCUCAGAGACCUGGACCGCACCUCCCUCGGUGAGGAAGAGCAGGUGGAUGGCAGGAGGGUUGUCAUUCACGUCCAGCACGUCAAUGGACACGCGCACGGUGGCUACCUCUGGCUCGGCGCCCCCGUCGCGGGCCUGUAUCACCAGCUGGUGCCAGGCCUGCUCCUCCCGGUCUAAAGGUCUUUGCACCCGCACUACGCCGCUCAGCUCCUCCACAGAGAAAUAACCCGGAUCACCCAGUGGCCCGCCACCUGCGCUCGCCACGGGCACUUGCCGCUCCCGGAUACUGUAGCGUACCAAGCCAUUGGGGCCCAAGUCGCGAUCGGUAGCACGCACGCGACAAACCUCAGCGCCCGGCUGGGCGUCCUCACUUACUGUGGCGCGGUACUCGCCCUGCUCGAAAACUGGCGGGUUGUCGUUCUCAUCCAACACACGCAGCUGCACGUGCAGGAGGCCGGUGCGCCGAGGGCUGCCACCGUCCCACGCUUCAAUGUGCAGCUCGUGCGCUGCCGCCGCCUCUCGGUCCAAGCGCCGCAGUAGCACCAAGUCUAAGGGUUCCAGCGGUGAUGAGGACAUGGGCAGGGAAGGCGACCCCGGUAACCCCGGCGUCCCGUAGCGCAAUUGGAAGAAGGGUCCUGUGGGAUCCUGGGGCAGGUCGGAAGCUUGCAGCAAAGUGUAGCCCUGGAUGCUGAACAGCCCCGCGUCCGGGUCCUGGGCUCCUGGCAGGCGGAACGCGGUCCCAGGCGGGCUGAGUUCCGACACGUCCAGCUGCAGGGAGUCGCGGGGAAAGCGAGGGGAAUGGUCGUUCACGUCGUUGAUGCGGAUCUCCACCUGUACCACCUCUCCCAACAGCGUGGCGGCCACGAAGCUGUAGUGGUCCCGCCGCUCGCGGUCCAGACGCCGAGCGGUGCGGAUGAUACCAGUGUCCGGGUGCACGUGGAAGUCGUCCAGCAGCGGGGAGUCAUCCGAGUCCUCCGACAGAAAAAAGCCAUUCCCUUCCUGUUGCUGAGCGGCUGGCAACCCCGCGCGAAUGUCACCCACCAGUGUGUCCGGGGGCAGCCCCUCGUCCACCGAGAGGCUGAGGUUGAACACCUGGGCAGACGAGCCCGAGGCUGCCCACAGCCAGGCGUGGACGAAAAGCCGGAGCAGGGAGCUCUGCACCCCGGCGCCGCGGGGCCGCCCACGGAGUGACCCCGCCGGCUGACGCCCUUCACCCAUCUUUCGCCCAGCAGGGCUCAUUUCUCCUCCAGCUCUUUAGGAAGAAGGCUCCGGUUAGCUGCCAGCUUGUAUUGGGAUCUCAGAACAACCCAGGAGUCUCUUCAGUAUUAAGCCAGAGAAGAAAAGACUUUGUUUGGCAAACAAACCAAAAGACCCAGGAGUUCCCAAGGUGGCAUCUGCAACUGGUGCAGACGUCCUCUGGCCGCAGCUCACGCAGGCGGGGGCGGCUCUAGCUGCCUCUGCCUCCGCGGCCACCUCUCCAGCCUCUGGAUGUCUUUAAGGGAGUCCCAUCGCUUUUUCUCUCUUCUUCUAUUCCUUUUACAUCUGUUCCUUGUUCUGCUCGGCUGGCUGUUUCCCCCUGGUAAAGUCAGGUGCAUUAUUUCUUUUGCCAAAAAGGAGGAAAUUAUUUAAAGCGCGCACACGGAGAGGAAGGGGAUCCGGCUGGGAAGGGGGUGGAGAAAGGGCGGGGAGGCCGAGAGGGCGCGGGGCGGGAGGAACGGUGGGAGGGGCCGCUCGGGCAGCAGACUGCUACAGGGGCGGCCGCUCCCCCACCCACCCCACUCCACCCCCCCGCGUCUCCCGGCGCUGGUGACUCCGCGGAGCCCCCUCUGACUGGGCCUCCUACUCCUUAGUCCCCUCCCCGUGCGUGAUGCGGCUCGCACCGCACCGGGAUGAAUUCCAACCUGCGAGCCUCGGUUCUGUAGGACUAAAAACGGCUAGCCGGAUGGACACGCAGCCCCAGACAGUGAUGCUGAUGGGGUUGUCUGGCUUGGCUUUGCGAGCAAAGUGGACUGGGUUAGGGAAGAGGCUUGCCCCUAAGCUCGCUCUCUCCAUCCUCAGAACAGCCCCUGCAGCGAGCCUGCCCAUGGCUCCAAGGAAGGUGGGGGUUAUAUGGUCACUUUAAGGAGACAAACUUGUGCUCUCUAUUUGGCGAGAGAACCCCACCUCCUCAGCGGAAGGACAGAUGGAGUCAAAAGGCGAUGCACAGCUGGGGCCAGUUUGACUGUAAAGCGGGGAAGGCGGAACUUGGAGGAAAAAAAAAAAAGAAGAAGAAGAAAGGAGAAAGAAAACUUCCAGAAAUCCCGAAAAAAUCUGUGACACACAUGGUACAUACAUAGCGCGCUUUAUUGUACCGAGCUACUUUUUAGCAACGUGCUAGUGUCUUGUCACUCCCCUCUGCCACCUGUGAUGACAACAAUGGAUGGAGCUUGCCUUGCGGACCUUUUUAGGCAUCCAGCGCCAUCAUACCUCCCAGCGUAUUUUAUAAUGAUGAUUUAUGUGCAGACUGACCUUGUGGCAUAAGCCCCAGCAAAAGGCUUUACCUCCAGCCCUUUGAGAAGAACCUUGCAGGGAUCUGAUAGCUCUUCCAAAGUAGCUUAGGGUUGAACCCAAAGACAAUUCACCUCAGCCUGCGUAGUCUCGGGCUUCCCUCCUGCUAUCCAUAGUUAUAGAUGGAAACUGACAAAUGGCCUCUAAUAAUGUAUGCGCCACCAAGGGAGUCUGCUCUCUUGAGAGUGGCCAGCCAUAUGUAGCAAAAGGUUUCUGCAAUUUUGCAUUUCAGCCAGAAGGAAGAAUUAAUUUCCUAGAUACUGUUCUGUGCUAGGGGGAGACCAAAAGGCCAGCAUACAGUUCCCCAGAAACCCCAGUGAAAUGCCUUCUUAUACUGAGUGGCCUAUGCAUGCCAUUGCUAACUAGCAGCCACACCAACCUGUACCCCUGAAAAAAUAAUAAUCAAAUGAUUUUCUUGGCAGUGUUGUAUGUAACCAGAGAUGCUAUUAAAAUAAUGUCAGCCUCCCUUUUAUCAAUCAAGUGCCUUUAAGCAUUUGGGAGCUCAGGCUUGAGGCUUUGGAGUCUUCUUUCCAACUUAAUGCAAAGGCAUCAGGAGUCUUACAAACCACCACAUCUACUACCACCACUGGUCCCUCCUGAGAUGGUUCUGCACCAAGCAUUCAGACCGUUUCUAAAGCCAACACUAAGCAUUUAACCCCUAUUCAGAACCUACAUGAUAGCUUCUUGUUUCAGACUCCUUCCUAAAUUGCCCACCUUGCUCUUCUUCCCUGCUCAUUGCAGAAUCUUUGAGUUGUUGAGCUUCCCUGUCUAGAUCUCUUUUUACCCCACAAAACAGGCUCCUUCUCAUUCAGGUCUCAUCUAAGAUGCCAACUGAGGGGACAUCUCCCUGACUACCCUCCUUCUAGUGGGAGGGUAAACCUAGAUCCUCACAUUCUAUGUCAUUCAAGGUGCCUUUAAGUACCUGGGAUCAGCUUGUUUGGUUCAUCUGUUUGGUCUAUUACUCCAGUCUUACCCUCUUCAUAGACUUAAAGCACUGCUUUAACCCACUCCCCAUGAGAGAGUCUGAGAGAGUGUUUGGUGAGUAGUAGAUCCCUCUUCGUUGCAUGUAUCCAGUGGCUGGAAUAACUGAUAGGCAGAUAAAUGGAUGAACUUUUAAACUGGAACUUGGAAACCACAACUAAAAAGUAACUGGCCCUGAGGUCCCUCACUGUGCUGAGUCCCAGCUUUGCCUUGCUGGUUUUACUCAUCCUACGAGCUCCUUUGAACCUUUCAGCUUAUCUGAAACUAUAUUAUCGUCCAAUAUUUCCUUGACACUAAGAGAAAAAGCGGGAUCUUUUUCCUGCGCAUGGCACUGACACGUACUUUGUUAACACAGGGUUACUUUUGAACGAAUGGAAAGUUGAAGCUUUGGAAACCUG